CCUACGGGAGGCAGCAGUAGGGAAUCUUCCACAAUGGGCGAAAGCCUGAUGGAGUAACGCCGCGUGGGUGAAGAAGGUCUUCGGAUCGUAAAGCCCUGUUGUUAGAGAAGAAAGUGCGAGAGAGUAACUGUUCACGUUUCGACGGUAUUUAACCAGAAAGCCACGGCUAACUACGUGCCAGCAGCCGCGGUAAUACGUAGGUGGCAAGCGUUAUCCGGAUUUAUUGGGCGUAAAGGGAACGCAGGCGGUUCUAUAAGUCUGAUGUGAAAGCCUUCGGCUUAACCGGAGUAGUGCAUUGGAAACUGGGGGACUUGAGUGCAGAAGAGGAGAGUGGAACUCCAUGUGUAGCGGGGAAAUGCGGAGAUAUAUGGAAGAACACCAGUGGCGAAAGCGGCUCUCUGGUCUGCAACUGACGCUGAGGUUCGAAAGCAUGGGUAGCAAACAGGAUUAGAUACCCUGGUAGUC
rnacentral:rRNA from 1 species